rnacentral:lncRNA from 1 species
UUGUCAAUGUAGUGUGCGUCGGAUCUGGCUAAUGUACAGUCGUGAUGUCAGAUUUCGUGCAUUCUAGUGCAAUAUAGGGUUAUUGGUUGGCUUGGUUCUUAAAUUUGUAUAUUUAUGCAUCAUGGUUUUCUACCCCUCGAGAUAGUUGGUUUUCAAAAUAGAGUUUCCGGAUAGGAAACAGUUUUAAAAAGGUUUGCAAAUAGUUUUAUGGAUAAUUAAAUAGAGUUUAAAAUCAAAGCUUCCGGGUGGGGAGCACUUUUAAAUAGGAUGCUUGUUGUAUUGUACAUUGCAUCAUCCAGCGCCGAAGGAGUGUUUAGAGACAUGCAUCAUCUCUAAGGAUCGCUAGCUGUAUGAAAAUGCAUCGCAUGAACUGUUUGUGCAUUGGUAAAUGUAGGUUGUUGUUGUGAUCUUGAUGUAGCUGUUAGUACGCCGUACAAAUACAAAGGAGACUCUGUCCGAGUGGACAGAGAAACUUUGUAUUUGUGGCGGGUCUGUAUGUCACGUGGGCUUGGUUAAUUCAAAAAAAAAAAAAGGCACGUUUUACGCAACUCUAGUUUCUAAAAUAAUACUUACUAUAAAAAGGCUUUUAAAAUUAGCCCCGGGGCAUGACAGCUUGUACUUCUAUUUCUUUAUAUAGUUGAAUACAUCUCUCUCGCUCUCCCUGUGGACGUAGGCAAUUGCUGAACCACGUAAAUCUUGGUUUCUUCUUUCUACAUUUAUUUCUUUUAUUAUUCGUUCGAUUUUCUCUGUUCUUUCGUGUAUCUUUGUUGGUAGCACAUGACGAACAAUCCAUCCAGUUCUCAACAGUUCAGGAGAGAAAUACAAUACAAGGAUAAUUCCAC